rnacentral:rRNA from 1 species
GAGUUUGAUCAUGGCUCAGGAUGAACGCUGGCGGCGUGGAUAAGGCAUGCAAGUAGAACGCCCCGCAAGGGGAGUUGCGAACGAGGUAGUAAUACAUAGGUACAAACCCCCGAGUCAGGAAUAACCUACCGAAAGGUAGGCUAAUACUUGAUAGUCCCGCAAGGGUAAAGAUUUAUCGCUUGGGGAUUGGCCUGUGCAGUAUCAGCUAGUUGGUAGGGUAAUAGCCUACCAAGGCAAUGACGCUUAGGGGAGGUGAGAGCCUGGCCCCCACCGAUGGUACUGAGACACGGACCAUACACCUACGGGUGGCUGCAGUCGAGAAUCUUCCGCAAUGGACGCAAGUCUGACGGAGCGACGCCGCGUGACUGAUGAAGUCUUUCGGGAUGUAAAGGUCUUUUAUGAAGGAGAAAGUUUUGAUAGUACUUCAUGAAUAAGGGGUUGCUAAACUCGUGCCAGCAGCAGCGGUAAUACGAGUACCCCAAGCGUUAUCCGGAAUUAUUGGGCGUAAAGGGUAUGUAGGUUGUUAUGUUAGUCUUUUGUCAAAGCCUUCGGCUCAACCGGAGAAUUGCGGGAGAAACGGCAUAACUAGAGGGCGCGAGAGGUUUGCGGAACUCAUGGUGUAGGGGUGAA